CUCUCGGACUGUUGUAUGAGACUGUGGUGUGUGUGUGUGUGUGUGUGUGUGUGUGUGUGUGUGUGUGUGUGUGUGUGUGUGUGUGUGUGUGUGUGUGUGUGUGUGUGUUUGAAGAUGUGGAGUCUCUCUUUGGUGGAAUUGUCCUUUUGUUUCGGGAGUUCCUAACUGAGUGAAAUCACCCAAAUGUAUUGGUUGCAGGGCUUCAGAGCUUCUUUAUGUCCAUUAGCAGAAGUUACCAAAAGUUCAGACUAUGGUGGGUGGCUCCAACCCUAGGGGGGUCCAGGGACAUGCUCCUCCGGAAGAAAAUGUUGUGCUUUUUAAAGUUAAAUGCAUCAAUCUGCUGCCCUUGGAGAGCAAAAUUAAGGCUAAUUCUAUGAAGAACGGCAGAGGUGUCAAAAGUAUUCACAUUCAUUACUCAUGUAGAAGUACUAGGGUAGAUACUAGGGUUUGAAAAUACUUCUGUAGAAGUUGAAGUAUCAACUCAAGCCUUUUACUCAGGUAAAAAGUGUAAAAGUACUGGUUUCAAAACUACUUAAAGAUCUCCUAUUAUACCACUUUUCUGGUCUUAAUUUCUUAUUAAUUACUCCCAUAGAGCAACCUGACACGAAUCACAGCACAAAAAACGAUGUAGAUUUUCUGGAAACACUUCCUCUCAUCUGGGCGCUUUCAGCAUUCUCUGUCAACAUUCGGCUUCAUCCUUCUCUGCCUCCUCGCCCCCCUCCUGCCAACCCCACUCCGUUGUGAUUGGUUACCUUCCGGAAGACCUGCGAAGGGCAUUACCAUACAUGGAAAAAUCUGGAUUGUUCUACGUAGAUAAAUCCCGGAAAUACCAAGAGAGUCUGGCUGCGGACAUCCACCCACACAUUGGGAAACAGCCACACUCCAGACAUCCACCCACAUAACUUCCGCUGCAGACAUCCACGCACAGAAACAUCCACCAGCACACCGGAAAUCGAAAAAUAAAAAUCGGAAAAUAAAAUAAAUGUGUGUACAUAAAUUAACGUAACAAAUUACGGUAUAAAAUCGGAUAAACGCUUCCGGUUUUGGACAGAAGACUUGACACUCGCUGUUGACUUUAAGCUGGAGCUUAUGGCUCUUCUCUUUCUGUAAAUACACAUAAUAUUGUUUUACCUUGUGCUGCUGGACCACCUUAUUUGCCCAUUUUUAAAUACGACAAACUCAAGUCUGUGUUUUAACUUAGCUCUGUGUGUAACCAAAGUGAAUAAGUAAAGUCAUAAAAAAAUCAAAACAUUGUAAACGUUUUAACACUUUAUUCAGAAGCGUGUCAUACACUCAACAGAUAACCAAACUCAGAACCUCAACAAACACACACACACACACAAACACACACAAACACACACACACACACACACACACACACACACACACACACACACACACACACACACACACACACACACACACACACACACACACACAGCGACCCAGGAACAUGGCGUUGACUUGAAGAUCCUCCUCAGCUGCCAUGUUAAGGAAGACCUCCAUGUCUUCCUGAUAAUCAAAGGGGACUUCUGGCUUUGAAACAUCGUUAAAAAACGACUGAGGCAUCUACAAAAGACAAAAAAUGUUACAAUUGAUGUUGUAAUUGUAGAAAAAAUUAAGAUCUAAGACGAUAAAUUCUCACAGCACAGCAAGCUAUAAAGGCCGGUAAUUCAGUAGUGGUAGUCCACACGAAACAGGUUGAAAAAUGGAAAAACGUAAUAUUUAUUAGGGGUGUGCAGCAAUUAUUGUCCCUUCAGAGCAUUAACUUUAUCUAUUGGCAUAUAAUUAAUGAUAAGAUAUAUUUCUACCUCAUACUGUACUUUACAUCUGUUUCUCUCUGUCAUAUUUUUUAUGAACUGUCCGAGCCCCAGCACCCUAUUGACUGGGGGACAUUGAACAUUUAGAAUCUGAGACAGGGUAGGCUAUAACAGUAAUUCAUUAACUUUUAUCCUUUUUAUUACAUUUUUUAUCUCUUUUACCCCUUUUAACUACUAACUAAGUGUUAUGAUCUCUUAGUUAUAAACAGAUUGUAUGAACUAAAUAGACUGAUCGAAUAUUUAAAGAUCGAUUUUGUCAAUUGAAUGAUAUCACACUUCUCAGCCAAUACAGCGGGGAUGAACAGCUGAUGCAACUUUAGUUAAAGCGGAACGAGCUGCGUCAAUUCAAUUCGUGCUCAUUAUUUUAUCACAACUUAACUCUGUUUUGGUCUACAGAUGACUGUCAAAAGUCAACAUCUUAAAGAAGCUUACUGCGUUCACACCAAACGCGACGGAGCGACAGGAUCCCAUACAAAGUGAACGUAUAGACACGUAUCGGGCGAAUCUUUCGCGAGAGAAAACCGGCGACAAGUAUUGAUUUGUCGCGCCACACUUUCGCCGUGCACAGGCGAGCGCGUUCACGAGGAUGUGUGGCGCGACAAAUUCGCUCGAGUUUAAAUAUUUGAACUUUGACACGAAUUUCGUGUGAUGACAGCCAAUCAGCGUUCAACAGCGUGGCCACUGAGUCACAUGUGUAACGUAUGGCGACACAUUAGUGCCAUAACUCACUCAUGUGAUAAAAGAUGCAUUCGGGCGUAUUAUAUUAUUCCACACGCGUGGAUAUUAACUGCGAGUGCGAAAAUGAUCUCUGCUUGCGUGCAAAUUAUCUCUGCGCGCGCAAAACAGCCUCUCGCGCGGACAGCCUCUCGCGAAAGAUGUUCUGCGCUCUCGCUCAAAUUUAAUUUUGGCACUAUGGGGGAGGGAACCAAGGCAGGGCGGGCUUUCUUGUGAUUGGCCGUUUCUGAAGCGCGAUAUUUAGUUGACAGCCCUGCUCAGCCCUCCUCUCAUUCAAUGGCUGAAACUCAGAAGACAACCGCGUCUGGGCAGGUCCCUUCAGAUUUCACAGAGUUUCUGUUCCAGCAUCUAGUAUGGAGGACACCAUAAGGAGACAGAUCCUGACCCGGCUCCUGUCCAAGUUUGAUCUGGGACUCACAAGAGAGCCUAUUGAUUUGGAUUAUUUUGAGCAUAUGUGUAGGCAGGAGUUGUAUAUUUUGUGCAAUGCACUGUCAAGGCAUGUUGAUGUGAACCUGAUUCAUUGUAUAAAUAAACUUCUCAUUAAGUUAAAUCAGCCUAACUCCUUGUGUGCCAUGCCAGUUCUCUUGUAGAUAAAUUAUCUAAUUUAACUCUGUCUUUUAGGUAACAGUGCACUAGUUUUCUGACUUAGUUGUUGAAUGUCACGUCAGUCUUUUUAUUUUGUCAUUUGCUUAUUAUUGAGUUUUCUUUUACAGAACAUAAACAAAGGUGGUAUAUAUGUCUGCAGUACAUCAAAUCAAAUAAAAGACAAAAAGUUAACAUUAGGGAGAGGAUCCAUUUCUAUUAAGGCACAAGUCAGAAAGUCAAUAUUUACACUUGUAUACACACAAGGCCACUCUUGUACAUGCUUAUUGAUGUAUAUUGUAUAUUUACCUAAACCAUACAUCGAUAUCGAUAACUAUUGAUCAUUUUAAUGACCUAAAAAGAACAGGAAUUACCAUGCUGGAUUUAAACACUUCUGUUUAACACUUAAUAUGACCUUCAACUGUUCUUCAACAUGUCUACUGAUAUUGUCAAUAAAUAUGGAACCGUGUUUGUGUAACAUGUUUUAUAUUGAUAUUGAUCUAAAGCAGGGGUUUUCAAAAUGUGAGAGAGUGAGCCCCCCCAAAGAGAAAAAAAUUCAGCUGAGCCCCCCCCCCCAAUUUUUUUUUUUUCUAAAGACCUGUGUUUUGAAAGCUAUGUUAAUUAUUUUACACAUUUUAAACAUCUCUGAUCAUAAUUUUAAAACAUUUGAAACAUAUUUUUUAAAAAUGUUAAAC